AGCUGCUGUUAUCAGAGAUUCGGGCCGCCGCCGGCCGUCACUCAAAAAUUAUUGACGGAGCUGCUGCCGGGCCGAUUUGGAGUUGCGACUACUUCGUUUUGUUAAUUCAGAGUUAGAAUCCAGUUUGCUUGUGCCGUUCGAAGCUAUUUCUGCUUUUGAGAGAGCAAGCAGAGCCGAGGUUUUGGUUGCCGGUGAUUUUGGAUUGAGA